GAUCUAUCUGCUGCCUUCGGCACCGUGAACCAUCAGAUCCUCCUCUCCACCCGCUCACGGCUGGGCCUCUCAGGCUCUACACACUCUUGGAUUACAUCCUGUCUGGAAGGCCGCUCCUACCAGGUGGUGACAAGCAUCUCGGCGUGCCUGGCAGAUAUCUCAGCUUGGAUGUCGGCCCACCACUUCAAGCUCAACCUAGACAUAACGGAGAUCUUAAGAUGAAUGCAACAACUGUGGUCCAGGAAUCCUCUUUUGUUCUCUAUGGCUCCUCAAGAAAGGGAAGAGGCUGAUGACAUCACAUCUCCCCAUCAGACCAGCUCCUUGAGUGACCUACUCCUUGAAAUUUGCAGUUUUGUCUAGAAAACACUAUAUUUCUCAAUGUAUUACACCUGUGUACUUUACUGUAUUUAUACUUGGGAUAUAGCUUUUCAACAGUAAACAUUCUGAAAUCGCUGGAGGGCGUCUUUAAGUUAACAAGACAAGUUAUGUUUAACAGCUCCUGAGCUCUGAUAACAGUCACUCAUAUGGGCUGGCUUGAUUACAUUCCCUCUCUCCAAGCAAUUCAGUUCACAUCCUCUCAGUUGACAUGGUAACCCUGAGGGCAGUGUUGCCAAGCAACAAGCAAGCAGGUCACAGUGCACUUCAAAUCACUCCCAGACCGGCUUGUGUUUUCUUCCCACAGACACUAAGAGAAUAAAAAAAAAGA